ACACAACGUUGAGACGGGAUCCGACGGACACCAAAUUCCUAUGCGGUGAAGCUUUGAAAUCCAGUGGCUGAAGAUGAACGGCGGAGCAAAUGAGAGUUGAGAGUAGUGAAUCAGGAUAAAGUUGUGGUUAAUGAGAGGUUCGCGGACGAUGAUGGAGGAAGGACGGGUUUGGCCGGCGCGGUUUGGCUGUGGAUUCGCCGGCGGAUGUUGAUGUUGAUGAUGGAUUUAGGGGUUGUUCGUGCGGUGGUGUCGGAGUGGGGUUUGUGAGAGUUUCGCCGGUGAGACGUAGCUUCGCCGGAAGUUGUCGGCGGCGCGGUGAGGUCGGGUUAAAGGGGAAGAGGGUUUCGAUGUCGGUUCUCGGCGGAUGAGGGUGUUUGUGUUGAGGGCGGCGGUGUUUGGUUGAGUGAAGGUGGUGUCGAAGAAGAUGGCGGAUGAAGGUUAAUGGAGUGUUGUGUGGAUUAAGGAAGAUGAACAGGGCGUGAGGUAAGGUGAAGAGAGAUGUUCCUGUUUUUUCUUUUCUGUUUUCUACUUCUUUUAUUUUAUACCGUUGGAGAGCCUAGGCUAGUGUGUGUGGUGUUGAAUCUACAGAGUUUUUUAUUGUUCUUCUUUUCUAACCUUUUCUCCUUUUUCGAAAGUGAAAGAGAGAUGUGUUAUUUAGUGGUGUUGAAUCUACAGAGUUUUUUAUUGUUCUUCUUUUCUAACCUUUUCUCCUUUUUCGAAAGUGAAAGAGAGAUGUGUUAUUUAGGGACGGUAGCGUGGGUGUGAUCAUGGAAAAUGAGGGUACCGU
rnacentral:lncRNA from 1 species